rnacentral:misc_RNA from 1 species
UUGUGUUUAGGGUUUUUAAUUGAUUGCUUAACUUGAAAUUCUCAGUAGGGGUUUUUGAUUUCGUUUAUUAAGUCCUGUUUAUUUCGAUAAUCAUGUCCUCAAUUGCAAGAUGUUCCUAAAUGUCUUUGCCUUAAGGCGUCCUCACUGACUUUGAGAUUGCCAAUCUAAGCUCGGAUUAUAGCUACUUGAACGAUGGCUAAAACUCAGCUUUUGGUGCAUGAACCAUGAUGGUUCCUGUUUAAAAUUGUACUAUGGUCCUUUUUAUUAUCUCUUUUUGGGUAUAACAUUGGGAAUUUUUAAAGGGAAUUUCUCCCUUAUUUGUAAGACGCUGGACCACGGGGAUGAGUGUAGACUCGACCACUGUAUUUAUUGGGAUGUAAUUUUUUUUUUCUUUUAGGUUGCGGCUGGAUUCUAGGAUUUGGAUUUGAAAUUGGAUUUCAAAUGUUUAAUAUAAAAUUUAGAAUUUGAAAUUCAUAAAUUUGAAAAUAUUUUGUUUGGCUAAUAGAAAGAAUUUCAAUGAAAAUACCUAGAUGUCGUGAUAUAUUGUAGAGAUGAUACAUUUGAUUGUAGUGGGAUAAAUUUAAAAUAACAUGGUUAAAAGGUAAAAGUAGUUAUUUUAAAUCUUUAGUUUUUAGUUUUUAAGUGUGUUUGGAUCAAAUCCAAAUUCAUUUUCAUUUAGAAUAUUCAAACAUUGUAUAAAUCCUCAGUUUCAAAUCC